rnacentral:rRNA from 1 species
UACGUAGGAGGCGAGCGUUGUCCGGAUUUACUGGGCGUAAAGGGUGCGCAGGCGGCGGUUCGCGUGGAUAGAUGAAAUCUCCUGGCUUACCUGGGAGGAUGGUAUCCAGACGGGAUCGCUUGAGGGUCGGAGAGGGGCGUGGAAUUCCGGGUGGAGCGGUGAAAUGCGUAGAGAUCCGGAGGAACACCGACGGCGAAGGCGGGUUGCUGGGCUGACACUGACGCUGAUGCGCGAAAGCCAGGGGAGCGAACGGG